rnacentral:rRNA from 1 species
CCUACGGGGGGCAACAGUGAGGAAUAUUGGUCAAUGGACGAGAGUCUGAACCAGCCAAGUAGCGUGAAGGAUGACUGCCCUAUGGGUUGUAAACUUCUUUUAUAUGGGAAUAAAAUGUUCCACGUGUGGGAUUUUGUAUGUACCAUAUGAAUAAGGAUCGGCUAACUCCGUGCCAGCAGCCGCGGUAAUACGGAGGAUCCGAGCGUUAUCCGGAUUUAUUGGGUUUAAAGGGAGCGUAGGUGGAUUGUUAAGUCAGUUGUGAAAGUUUGCGGCUCAACCGUAAAAUUGCAGUUGAAACUGGCAGUCUUGAGUACAGUAGAGGUGGGCGGAAUUCGUGGUGUAGCGGUGAAAUGCUUAGAUAUCACGAAGAACUCCGAUUGCGAAGGCAGUUCACUGGACUGCAACUGACACUGAGGCUCGAAAGUGUGGGUAUCAAACAGGAUUAGAUACCCGGGUAGUC